rnacentral:tRNA from 1 species
GGACGGCUAAGUCAUUGAACAAAAUAAGGAAUCAAAAACCGCUGGCGUCUUCACACGGCAGGGGUCACAGGUUCGAACCCUGUGCUGUCCACCA